UUAAAUUGAAGAGUUUGAUCAUGGCUCAGAUUGAACGCUGGCGGCAGGCCUAACACAUGCAAGUCGAACGGUAACAGGAAUCAGCUUGCUGAUUUGCUGACGAGUGGCGGACGGGUGAGUAAUGUCUGGGAAACUGCCUGAUGGAGGGGGAUAACUACUGGAAACGGUAGCUAAUACCGCAUAACGUCGCAAGACCAAAGAGGGGGACCUUCGGGCCUCUUGCCAUCGGAUGUGCCCAGAUGGGAUUAGCUAGUAGGUGGGGUAACGGCUCACCUAGGCGACGAUCCCUAGCUGGUCUGAGAGGAUGACCAGCCACACUGGAACUGAGACACGGUCCAGACUCCUACGGGAGGCAGCAGUGGGGAAUAUUGCACAAUGGGCGCAAGCCUGAUGCAGCCAUGCCGCGUGUAUGAAGAAGGCCUUCGGGUUGUAAAGUACUUUCAGCGGGGAGGAAGGGAGUAAAGUUAAUACCUUUGCUCAUUGACGUUACCCGCAGAAGAAGCACCGGCUAACUCCGUGCCAGCAGCCGCGGUAAUACGGAGGGUGCAAGCGUUAAUCGGAAUUACUGGGCGUAAAGCGCACGCAGGCGGUUUGUUAAGUCAGAUGUGAAAUCCCCGGGCUCAACCUGGGAACUGCA
rnacentral:rRNA from 1 species